rfam:Echinostoma caproni strain Egypt genome assembly, scaffold: ECPE_scaffold0000556
GGCCUCGUAGAUCAGUUGGUAGAGUGUUCGCGUACAAAGCGUCGGCGGCGUCCAUGCGUGGGUUCGAAUCCCACCGAGGCUA